rnacentral:rRNA from 1 species
AUUAGAUACCCUGGUAGUCCACACAGUAAUCGAUGAAUACUCGCUGUUUGCGAUAUACAGCAAGCGGCCAAGCGAAAGCAUUAAGUAUUCCACCUGGGGAGUACGCCGGCAACGGUGAAACUCAAAGGAAUUGACGGGGGCCCGCACAAGCGGAGGAACAUGUGGUUUAAUUCGAUGAUACGCGAGGAACCUUACCCGGGCUUAAAUUGCAUUUGAAUAUAGUGGAAACAUCAUAGCCGCAAGGCAAAUGUGAAGGUGCUGCAUGGUAGUCGUCAGCUCGUGCCGUGAGGUGUCGGCUUAAGUGCCAUAACGAGCGCAACCCUUAUCUUCAGUUACUAACAGGUCAUGCUGAGGACUCUGGAGAGACAGCCGUCGUAAGAUGUGAGGAAGGUGGGGAUGACGUCAAAUCAGCACGGCCCUUACGUCCGGGGCUACACACGUGUUACAAUGGGGGGUACAGAAGGCAGCUACCGGGCGACCGGAUGCCAAUCCCAAAAACCUCUCUCAGUUCGGAUCGAAGUCUGCAACCCGACUUCGUGAAGCUGGAUUCGCUAGUAAUCGCGCAUCAGCCAUGGCGCGGUGAAUACGUUCCCGGGCCUUGUACACACCGCCCGUCAAGCCAUGAAAGCCGGGGGUACCUGAAGUACGUAACCGCAAGGAGCGUCCUAGGGUAAAACUGGUAAUUGGGGCUAAGUCGUAACAAGGUAAC